GGGGAAUAUUGCACAAUGGGCGGAAGCCUGAUGCAGCGACGCCGCGUGGGGGAUGACGGCCUUCGGGUUGUAAACCCCUUUCGCCCGGGACGAAGCGAGAGUGACGGUACCGGGAGAAGAAGCACCGGCCAACUACGUGCCAGCAGCCGCGGUAAUACGUAGGGUGCAAGCGUUGUCCGGAAUUAUUGGGCGUAAAGAGCUCGUAGGCGGUGUGUCGCGUCUGCCGUGAAAACCUGCGGCUUAACCGUGGGCGUGCGGUGGAUACGGGCACACUUGAGUUCGGUAGGGGAGACUGGAAUUCCUGGUGUAGCGGUGGAAUGCGCAGAUAUCAGGAGGAACACCAGUGGCGAAGGCGGGUCUCUGGGCCGAAACUGACGCUGAGGAGCGAAAGCGUGGGGAGCGAAC
rnacentral:rRNA from 1 species